UGGGGAAUAUUGAACAAUGGGCGCAAGCCUGAUGCAGCCAUGCCGCGUGUAUGAAGAAGGCCUUCGGGUUGUAAAGUACUUUCAGCGGGGAGGAAGGUGUUGAGGCUAAUAACCUCAGCAAUUGACGUUACCCGCAGAAGAAGCACCGGCUAACUCCGUGCCAGCAGCCGCGGUAAUACGGAGGGUGCAAGCGUUAAUCGGAAUUACUGGGCGUAAAGCGCACGCAGGCGGUCUGUCAAGUCGGAUGUGAAAUCCCCGGGCUCAACCUGGGAACUGCAUUCGAAACUGGCAGGCUAGAGUCUUGUAGAGGGGGGUAGAAUUCCAGGUGUAGCGGUGAAAUGCGUAGAGAUCUGGAGGAAUACCGGUGGCGAAGGCGGCCCCCUGGACAAAGACUGACGCUCAGGUGCGAAAGCGUGGGGAGCAAACA
rnacentral:rRNA from 1 species